rnacentral:rRNA from 1 species
AGUAGUUAGUGUCUUCUGUGUAGGA